UACGGGGGGGGCAAGCGUUGUUCGGAAUUACUGGGCGUAAAGGGCGCGUAGGCGGUUUCGGAAGUCAUGGGUGAAAGCCCUCGGCUCAACCGGGGAAUGGCCUGUGAAACCACGGGACUGGAGUGCUGGAGAGGGAAGCGGAAUUCCCAGUGUAGCGGUGAAAUGCGUAGAUAUUGGGAGGAACACCGGAGGCGAAGGCGGCUUCCUGGACAGACACUGACGCUGAGGCGCGAAAGCCAGGGGAGCAAACGGGAUUAGAUACCCCGGUAGUCCUGGCUGUAAACGAUGAACACUUGGUGUGGGGGGUAGGACGAGUCCCUCCGUGCCGGAGAUAACUCGAUAAGUGUUCCGCCUGGGGAGUACGGCCGCAAGGCUGAAACUCAAAGGAAUUGACGGGGGCCCGCACAAGCGGUGGAGCAUGUGGUUUAAUUCGACGCAACGCGAAGAACCUUACCGGGGUUUGAACUGCUCGGGCAAUCUACAGAGAUGUAGAGUUUCCUUCGGGAACCCGGACAGAGGUGCUGCAUGGCUGUCGUCAGCUCGUGUCGUGAGAUGUUGGGUUAAGUCCCGCAACGAGCGCAACCCUUGUCUGUAGUUGCCAUCAGGUUAAGCUGGGCACUCUACGGAGACUGUCGGCGAAAAGCCGGAGGAAGGUGGGGAUGACGUCAAGUCCUCAUGGCCUUUAUGUCCCGGGCUACACACGUGCUACAAUGGGCGGUACAGAGGGCUGCAAACUCGCAAGAGCAAGCCAAUCCCAGAAAACCGUCCUCAGUUCGGAUUGCAGUCUGCAACUCGACUGCAUGAAGGUGGAAUCGCUAGUAAUCGCGGAUCAGCACGCCGCGGUGAAUACGUUCCCGGGCCU
rnacentral:rRNA from 1 species